UGGUUGACAUAUGGACCCCAC
rnacentral:miRNA from 1 species